rnacentral:rRNA from 1 species
GGCCUACGGGACGCAGCAGUGAGGAAUAUUGGUCAAUGGGCGGGAGCCUGAACCAGCCAAGCCGCGUGAAGGAAGAAGGCGCCAGGCGUCGUAAACUUCUUUUGUCGGGAACAAAGGGCGCCACGCGUGGCGUUGUGAGUGUACCCGAAGAAAAAGCAUCGGCUAACUCCGUGCCAGCAGCCGCGGUAAUACGGAGGAUGCGAGCGUUAUCCGGAUUUAUUGGGUUUAAAGGGAGCGUAGGCCGGCUUUUAAGUCGGCUGUGAAAGUCCGCGGCUCAACCGUGGAAUUGCAGUUGAAACUGGGGG